UUGAGCCAACCUGUUCAUUUCCACUGAAGCCGACAGAUGAGAACAGAUGCUCGAUGCCAUAGAGUGGAUCAGCAGAAGAGCCAGGAGGAGAUUUUCCCAGAGGCACAGUUGGACACACUGUGACUGGGUAAGAUGCUGACCUGGCAGCGUGGAGUCCUGCCUGUGUGUGCUGCUGUGUUGCACACAGCUCAGAUGAAGAGUGAAGAGCCUGUUCUGUGGGCCCUAGUGUGUGUCAAGGCCUGGGCUUUAUGGAUCAAGGUGCUCAGGUGAAUAAACUGAAGCUCGGGGAGCUUACUGGUCCCAGCUCACACAAGGAAUGGGACUCAACCCUACCUCUGCCUGAGUCUGGAGUCUCUACUCAAGAUUACUAGUACUGUGGCCCUUUCUCUUGCUUUAAAGAUAAUUUGAUCCUCAAAAUUGCCAUGUACUAUAUGU